GCCUUUACUGUAUAAAUACAGUCUUGGUGAACAGAAGAUACUUCAAAAACAUUAAAAAAUCUUACUGGCCACAAACGUUUGAGACAUAGUGUAGAUAUGUAUAUAUUUUAUAAAUCAAUUUAUGUAUCUGCUUUGUGGAAACAAUGAUUUAGUUUUUAUCAAAUGCUGUAAUUAAUACAUUUGUCUCAAAUGGUUCUUUUUAACAGCUUAAUCUACUGUCAGUAAAAUCAUUCUGUGUCUCUCAUGUAGGGAUGUCUGCUCUGCACAUCAUCAUACUGAUGCUUUGCUUUACUUCCCUCUUGUUGACUUUUAUAUUAAGUAUUCCAGUCAAAAUCUAUAUAAACAGAAAAGGUAGGCUAGGAGCUAUGGAGGUAUGCUGUUAAGAGUUAUAUUUUUUAUCUAUUCCAAAUGUAAUGUAAUAGGAUGUUUAAUUGCUGUUCUUUUAUUCUCAGACACCAUGUUUCUGAUUGCACAUGGUGUUUAUGUUCUUCUGCAGAUACUGGCACAAAACCCAUGUACAUAAAUUAUUUGCAGGUAGUCUGUCCCAACAUCUGUUUGUCUAUAGCAUUUGUUUUGUGGGGUGUAAUUGAAGGGUCUGUUGUUGAGGUAACAAUGUGUGCAACAAUUAAUCUGACGAGGAUCAUUUUAUUAUUUCUUAUGGCCCCAUAUUUUAACUGGAACACAACAGUUUCUGUUGAUCUUCCGGUUUCCUUUCAUAGAAUAAUUGAAUACAUGGGCAUUCCCAUUGCAUAUCUUCUGAUUUCCACAGCGUUUUGCUCAGGUUAAGAAACUAUUUUAGUAAUACUAGUC
ensembl:lncRNA